rfam:Loxodonta africana unplaced genomic scaffold scaffold_1, whole genome shotgun sequence.
GCAGUGGUGGUUUAAUGGUAGAAUUCUUGCCUCUAAUGUGGGAGACGUGGGUUCAAUUCCCAGCCAUCAUG